rnacentral:rRNA from 1 species
AGCUGGAAACGGCUGUUAAUACCGCAUAUGCUCACAGCGCCGCAUGGCGCAGGGAGGAAAGCGCACAGUGGUGAAGGAUGGCUCCGCGUCGGAUUAGCCAGUUGGCGGGGUAACGGCCCACCAAAGCGAUGAUCCGUAGCCGGCCUGAGAGGGCGACCGGCCACAUUGGGACCGAGACACGGCCCAAACUCGUGCGGGAGGCAGCAGUGGGGGAUAUUUCAAAGAGGGCGAAAACCUGAUGCAGCGACGCCGCGU